rnacentral:rRNA from 1 species
ACGCUCGACACCUACUGGAGGCAGCAGUGGGGGAUAUUGCACAAUGGGGGAAACCCUGAUGCAGCAACGCCGCGUGAAGGAAGAAGGUCUUCGGAUUGUAAACUUCUGUCCUCAGGGAAGAUAAUGACGGUACCUGAGGAGGAAGCUCCGGCUAACUACGUGCCAGCAGCCGCGGUAAUCUGAGCGGGCUGGCAAGGC